AUCCAGCUGACGAGUCCCAAAUAGGUCGAAGCGGCGCGCGUCCUGGAU
rfam:Schistosoma rodhaini strain Burundi genome assembly, scaffold: SROB_scaffold0001288